rnacentral:ribozyme from 1 species
UGCCCAGCAACUCCAAUCCCUACCUCCUCGUGGUACUGGCCGGAAUACGAGAAACCUUAGAAAAGAUCGCGUAACCAACCCCCGGUGGGAACUUUGGUCGUAUGCUGACAGGGAAGG